GACGAACGCUGGCGGCGUGCCUAAUACAUGCAAGUCGAGCGAAUCAAGAGGAGCUUGCUCCGCUUGGUUAGCGGCGGACGGGUGAGUAACACGUGGGCAACCUGCCUGUAAGACUGGGAUAACUUCGGGAAACCGGAGCUAAUACCGGAUAAUUCUUUCUCUCUCAUGAGGGAAAGCUGAAAGACGGCUUCGGCUGUCACUUACAGCUGGGCCCGCGGCCGAUUAGCUAGUUGGUGAGGUAACGGCUCACCAAGGCGACGAUGCGUAGCCGACCUGAGAGGGUGAUCGGCCACACUGGGACUGAGACACGGCCCAGACUCCUACGGGAGGCAGCAGUAGGGAAUCUUCCGCAAUGGACGAAAGUCUGACGGAGCAACGCCGCGUGAGCGAUGAAGGCCUUCGGGUCGUAAAGCUCUGUUGUUAGGGAAGAACAAGUAUCGGAGUAACUGCCGGUACCUUGACGGUACCUAACCAGAAAGCCACGGCUAACUACGUGCCAGCCGCCGCCGUAAUAC
rnacentral:rRNA from 1 species